rnacentral:rRNA from 1 species
GAUCAUGGCUCAGGACGAACGCUGGCGGCGUGCCUAAUACAUGCAAGUCGGGCGGAGCCCGAGGGGAGCUUGCUCCUUAUCGGGCUCAGCGGCGGACGGGUGAGUAACACGUGGGUAACCUGCCCGUAAGACCGGGAUAACUCCGGGAAACCGGGGCUAAUACCGGAUAACACCGGGGGCCGCAUGGCUUCCGGUUGAAAGGCGGCCUUUGGCUGCCACUUACGGAUGGGCCCGCGGCGCAUUAGCUAGUUGGCGGGGUAACGGCCCACCAAGGCG